rnacentral:rRNA from 1 species
UUACAAUGGAGAGUUUGAUCCUGGCUCAGGAUGAACGCUAGCGGCAGGCCUAAUACAUGCAAGUCGGACGGGAUUGAGGAGCUUGCUCCUCAUGAGAGUGGCGCACGGGUGCGUAACACGUAUGUAACCUACCUUGUUCAGGGGGAUAGCCUCUCGAAAGAGAGAUUAAGACCGCAUAAAAUCACACUAUGGCAUCAUAGAAUGAUCAAAUAUUUAUAGGAACAAGAUGGGCAUGCGGAACAUUAGCUAGUUGGUAAGGUAACGGCUUACCAAGGCUACGAUGUUUAGGGGAUCUGAGAGGAUGGCCCCCCACACUGGUACUGAGACACGGACCAGACUCCUACGGGAGGCAGCAGUAAGGAAUAUUGGUCAAUGGGCGGAAGCCUGAACCAGCCAUGCCGCGUGCAGGAAGACGGCCCUACGGGUUGUAAACUGCUUUUGUACCGGAAUAAACCUACUUACGUGUAAGUAGCUGAAUGUACGGUAAGAAUAAGGAUCGGCUAACUCCGUGCCAGCAGCCGCGGUAAUACGGAGGAUCCGAGCGUUAUCCGGAUUUAUUGGGUUUAAAGGGUGCGUAGGCGGCCUAUUAAGUCAGGGGUGAAAGACGGUAGCUCAACUAUCGCAGUGCCCUUGAUACUGAUGGGCUUGAAUGCAGCUGAGGUAGGCGGAAUGUGACAAGUAGCGGUGAAAUGCAUAGAUAUGUCACAGAACACCGAUUGCGAAGGCAGCUUACUAAAGUGCGAUUGACGCUGAGGCACGAAAGCGUGGGGAUCAAACAGGAUUAGAUACCCUGGUAGUCCACGCCCUAAACGAUGAAUACUCGAUGUUGGCGAUAUACGGUCAGCGUCUAAGCGAAAGCGUUAAGUAUUCCACCUGGGGAGUACGCCCGCAAGGGUGAAACUCAAAGGAAUUGACGGGGGCCCGCACAAGCGGAGGAGCAUGUGGUUUAAUUCGAUGAUACGCGAGGAACCUUACCCGGGCUUGAAAGUUAGUGAAUAGAGCAGAGACGCUCUAGUCCUUCGGGACACGAAACUAGGUGCUGCAUGGCUGUCGUCAGCUCGUGCCGUGAGGUGUUGGGUUAAGUCCCGCAACGAGCGCAACCCCUAUGUUUAGUUGCCAGCACAUAAUGGUGGGGACUCUAAACAGACUGCCUACGCAAGUAGAGAGGAAGGAGGGGACGACGUCAAGUCAUCAUGGCCCUUACGUCCGGGGCUACACACGUGCUACAAUGGGCCAUACAGAGGGCAGCAACCUGGCAACAGGAAGCCAAUCUCAAAAAGUGGUUCACAGUUCGGAUCGGGGUCUGCAACUCGACCCCGUGAAGUUGGAUUCGCUAGUAAUCGCAGAUCAGCAAUGCUGCGGUGAAUACGUUCCCGGGCCUUGUACACACCGCCCGUCAAGCCAUGGAAGCUGGAAGUGCCUGAAGUGCGUAACCGCAAGGAGCGUCCUAGGGUAAAGUCGGUAACUGGGGCUAAGUCGUAACAAGGUAGCCGUACCGGAAGGUGCGGCUGGAAUACCUCCUUUCU